GACGAACGCUGGCGGCGUGCCUAAUACAUGCAAGUCGAGCGAACAGACGAGGAGCUUGCUCCUUUGACGUUAGCGGAGGACGGGUGAGUAACAUGUGGAUAACCCACCUAUAUGACUGGGAUAACUUCGGGAAACCGGAGAUAAUACCGGAUAAUAUACUGAACCGCAUGGUUCAAUAGUGAAAGACGGCUUUGCUGUCACUUAUAGAUGGAUCCGCGCCGCAUUAGCUAGUUGGUAGGGUAAAGGCUUACCAAGGCAACGAUGCGUAGCCGACCUGAGAGGGUGAUCGGCCACACUGGAGCUUGAACACGGUCCAGAGUCCUACGGGAGGCAGCAGUAGGGAAUCGUCCGCAGUGGGCGAAAGCCUGACGGAGCAACGCCGCGUGAGUGAUGAAGGUCUUCGGAUCGUAAAACUCUGUUAUUGGGGAAGAACAAAUGUGUAAGUAACUGUGCACGUCUUGACGGUACCUAAUCAGAAAGCCACGGCUAACUACGUG
rnacentral:rRNA from 1 species